rnacentral:rRNA from 1 species
AUUGAACGCUGGCGGCAGGCUUAACACAUGCAAGUCGAACGAGUGGCGGACGGGUGAGUAAUGCUUGGGAAUCUAGCUUAUGGAGGGGGAUAACUACGGGAAACUGUAGCUAAUACCGCGUACCAUAGGAUGAGCCCAAGUGGGAUUAGGUAGUUGGUUGGGUAAAGGCUCACAAAGCCGACGAUCUCUAGCUGGUCUGAGAGGAUGAACAGACACACUGGAACUGAGACACGGCCCAGACUCCUACGGGAGGCAGCAGUGGGGAAUAUUGCACAAUGGGGGCAACCCUGACGCAGCCAUGCCGCGUGAAUGAAGAAGGCCUUAGGGUUGUAAAGUACUUUCAGCGAGGAGGCGUUACCCGCAGAAGAAGCACCGGCUAACUCCGUGCCAGCAGCCGCGGUAAUAC